CAACCGAAUAGUAUUCAAGGUUCCUCUUUAGAGGAAGAAAAGGGAAGCCGGUGAAAAUCCGGCGCGGUCCCGCCACUGUGAACCACGAGUGUCUCUUAAGGCCCACUGGGAUGAGCCUGGGAAGGGAAGAGGCAUAAAGACUGGAAGCCAGGAGACCUGCCUUGAACAUUGCGCUACG
rfam:Desulfitobacterium hafniense Y51 DNA, complete genome.